UACGAAGGGGGCUAGCGUUGCUCGGAAUCACUGGGCGUAAAGCGCACGUAGGCGGCUUUCUAAGUCGGGGGUGAAAUCCUGGAGCUCAACUCCAGAACUGCCUUCGAUACUGGAAAGCUCGAGUCCGGGAGAGGUGGAGUGGAACUGCGAGUGUAGAGGUGAAAUUCGUAGAUAUUCGCAAGAACACCAGUGGCGAAGGCGGCUCACUGGCCCGGUACUGACGCUGAGGUGCGAAAGGCGUGGUAGCAAACAGA
rnacentral:rRNA from 1 species